rnacentral:lncRNA from 1 species
AGCACUUAAGUAGUAAGACAGACCCCAGAGAUUUCUGGAAAAGAGUCUUGAUCGCCCGGCUGAGGUUGUGUUUGUCAGGUUUCUCCACAAUUGCUUUUUAUUUUCCCUCUUUCAGUUCUGUACUCUGAGGAAGUCACUAUAUGCAGCCCACACCUACCAAAGAUCAAAAGGCAGUGGCUCAGGAGACUGGGGACUGGGCUCCCCAUAGAGAAUGCCCCUGAUUAAAGCUGCAGCCCAGUCAAACUCAUCUUGUUCUAGAAGGAAUCUGAAAGAUCCAUCCCUGCACCAGAUGGAGGGAAAGGCUUACCAUCAACUAUGAUUGUUUGUGAAAUAACAUCAUCCCACACAUCCAAGAAACUCAACAAACCCCAAGUAUGAUCAAUGAAAAGAGAUCCACAUGGUAGGUCCUCAAAUAUGUUGAACCUACCAAGUGUUGUUGUUGUUGUUGUUGUUGUUGUUGUUGUUGUUGUUGUUUGAGACGGAGUUUUGCUCUUGUUGCCCAGGCUGGAGUGCAAUGGCACGAUCUUGGCUCACUGCAACCUCCCUCUCCCAGGUUUAAGCGAUUCUCCNNNNNNNNNNNNNNNNNNNNNNNNNNNNNNNNNNNNNNNNNNNNNNNNNNNNNNNNNNNNNNNNNNNNNNNNNNNNNNNNNNNNNNNNNNNNNNNGGCCAGGCUGGUCUUGAACUCCUGACCUCGUGAUCCACCUGCCUCAGCCUCCGAAAGUGCUGGGAUUACAGGCGUGGGCCACCGUGCCCGGCCAUACCAAGAAUUGUUAAAGCAAACUAACUAUGGCCUGAGAAGGACUCCAUACUUCCAUGUUUGAGUCCUUGUGGAUGAACUGCAACCUAACUUAAUAGGUAGACAAGAUUGAAAACCUAACUUAGGAGUAGGCACCUGUAACAAUAGCUGAGUCUUGGCCAAUCCUAGUGGCCCUACUUCAACCACUCAUGCAGGGCUGUGUUCAGACUGUGUUGAAAUAAGGCAAAUGCUGAGCUGUAACCAGUCCAGUUGUUUCUGUACCCCACUUCCGAUUUCUGUAUGUCACUUGACUUUUUUUUUGGUCUAUAAAUUUGUUCUGACCACGAGACACUCCUGGAGUCCCUCUGAAUCUGCUGUGAUUCUGGGGGCUGCCCAAUUCAUGAAUCAUUCAUUGUUCAAUUAAACUCCUUUCAAUUUAUUUCGGCCGAAGUUUUUCUUUUAACAGAGGAAAUCUUGAAAGCAGUAAGAGAAAAACACCCAUCCAUCAGGGGAACAACAAUACAAUUAUGGCUGGCUUCUCUCAUCUGCAACUAUAGAAGCCAGAAGGCAGUGGAAUGGCAUAUUUUGAGUGCUAAGGAAAAAACUGUCAGUCAACUAUUCUAUAUCCAGCAAAACUGCAUUUCAAAAAUGCAGGCUGAAUAAAGAUAUUUUCAGAUAAAUGAAGACUGAGAGACUUGAUUGCUAGCUGGUCUGACUCAAAAGAAAUACUGGAGAAAGUCCUUUAGGGUGAAAGGAGAGGAUACCAGAUGUUUUAAGCUGAAUCCACAGGGUAAAUCCAAGUAAAUAGUACCAGAAAUCAUACAUAUAUACAUUUAUAUAACAGAUAAACAUGUUUUGCUUUUAUUUCUUCUUUUAACUUCCAAAAGACGUAAGUUUGUAUAAAGCAACAAGUAUAGCUGUAGUGUUAUGUCUAUAAUAUAUAGAUUUACUAUCUAUGAUAAUAAUUGCACCGGGCGCAGUGGCUUAUGCCUGUAAUCCCAGCAUUUUGGGAGGCCGAGGCAGGUGGAUCACAGGUCAAGAGUUCGAGACCAGCUUGGCCAACAUGGUGAAACCCCAUCUUUACUAAAAAUACAAAAAAAUCAGCUGGGCGUCGUGGGACGCACCUGUAGUCCCAGCUACUCGGGGGGCUGAGGCAGAAGAAUCGCUUGAACCCGGGAGGUGGAGGCUGCAGUGAGCCGAGAUCUUGCCACUGCAUUCCAUCAUGGUGACAAAGUGAGACUCUGUCCCAAAAAACAAAACAAAGCAAAACAACCCCCCAAAAAAACUUUCCGUAUGACCUAGCAAUUCCAUUCUAAGGAAUAUUCCCAAGAAAAGUGAAAACUUAUGACACACAGAGCCAGUACCUGAAUGUUCAGAGCAGUGUUACUUAUUCAUAAUAACUAUAACCUUGAAACCAUCCAAUGUCCAACAGCUAAUGAAUGUAUAAACAAAGUCUGAUAGAUUCAUACAGUGGAAUACUAUUCAACAAUGAAAAGGAAGAGACUACUGGUCCACACUACAACAUGGAUGAACCUGAAAAACAUUAUGCCAACUGAAAGAAUCCAGGCACGAAAGACUUCCUAUUAUAUGAUCCUGUUUAUAUGAACUGUCCCAAGUUUAUGAGAACAGAAAGCAGAUCUGUGGUCAUUUAGGGCUGAGGAUGGGGCAAAAACUAAUUGCAAAUGGACAUGAGGGAACACUUUGGGGUGAUUAAAAUGUUCUAACACUGGAUUAUAAAGAUAGUUGCUCAAUUCCAUAAAUUUACUAAAAAUCAUUGAAUUGAAAAAAGUAGCAAUUAACCAAAAUAAUGAAAAAGUAGCAAUUAACCAAAAUGAUGAAAAAAGUAUCAUUUAACCAAAAAGUGAUAUUUGACAAUGUUUCAUUUCUAUCCAGCUAUCUUUUUUUUUCUUUUUUUUUNNNNNNNNNNUUUUUUUUUUUUUGAGACGGAGUCUGGCUUUGUUGCCCAGGCUGGAGUGCAGUGGUGCCGUCUCGGCUCGCUGCAACCUCCGCCUCCCAGAUUCAAGCGAUUCUCCUGCCUCAGCCUCCCAGGUAGCUGGGACUACAGGUGCAUGCCAUUCCCGGCUAAUUUUUGUAUUUUUAGUAGAGACAGUGUUUCACUUUAUGUUGCCCAGGCUGGUCUCAAACUCCUGGCCUCAAGUGAUCUGCCUGCCUCGGCCUCCCAAAGUGCUGGGAUUAUAGGCAUGAGCCACCAUGCCUGGCCCCAGCUAUCUUAAAGUUUAGAAACACUUUAUUGUUAAAAAAAAAAGUUUGUGUUUUUUUAUUGAAUAAAUAUGAUCUAUUGAUAAAUAAAGUAAUAAUUGCUAAUACAUUUUUCUUAGCACAAAGUGGUGGUAAAAUAUCAUUAUAAUAUGGAAAUAAAUAAUAAUUUCCAGGCUGGACACAGUAGCCCAUUCCUGUAAUCCCAGAAUGUUGGGAGGCCAAAGCAAGUGGAUCGUUUGAGCCUAGGAGUUUGAGACCAGCCUGGGCA